rnacentral:misc_RNA from 1 species
CUUCUUCUUUUUCUUUUCUUCUUUCUUUGUAUGGGGGAUUGUAUAAUGGAUUGGGAAUUCUCAUUUUUGUCUCAGCAAGCUUUUUGCAGUGCUUAAAAUCAAUAAAUUUAGGAUUACUUAGAGUUUUAAUGAAUGAUUUGGAUUUGUGGUUUUCAAAUAGGACAGGAUUUUGCCUUGGGGGUAAAGGGUAUUUAUUCAUUUUUCUGAUUGGGUGUGAGGUAUAAUAAUGGGAAGAAGAUAACAAUGCAGAAAAACUAGUCUAAACCAUAAACAAGGCUCAAGUCUUUCCAUUUGAUAUAUGUAACUGUGCGAGUGUACCAGCUGAACGUUCUUGUGCGUUCCUAUUCUGUCAGGCCUUGAGCUUUUUAUCAUGAUCAUCAAUAUGGAAGUACGAUACAUGCUAAUAUUGGACUCAUUUGAUUUCAUAAAAUUGAGUUAACUGCAG